GCCUACGGCCAUACCACCCUGAACGCGCCCGAUCUCGUCUGAUCUCGGAAGCUAAGCAGGGUCGGGCCUGGUUAGUACUUGGAUGGGAGGAACCAGGCAGGGACGGCC
ensembl:rRNA 5S_rRNA 5S ribosomal RNA